rnacentral:lncRNA from 1 species
CCCUCCGACACGUGGUGGCGAUAUUGAGCUGUGUGUAGGUACACCCUGCAGCUUGCGCUUUUAACUGCUUGUGGUUGAGUGGCAGCAUGAGCGAGCUCUGCGUAUUCCAACCCGGCGUUAAGAAUCCUUCACUAGCUUUUCUUCCCGACGCUGCUUAUUUAUCUAUCGGUAGCAUGACGGGUAAUUGACGCCCUCGGAUGGCUUUGAGGUCGCCAUUUUUGGUUGGUGCCUUUGUCUUGGUGUCAGGACUGGGAUAUCAUCUGGGACACAUUACCCCACAGUCAGAUACCUAC